CCUACGGGAGGCAGCAGUGAGGAAUAUUGGUCAAUGGGCGCGAGCCUGAACCAGCCAAGUAGCGUGAAGGAUGACUGCCCUACGGGUUGUAAACGUCUUUUAUAAAGGAAUAAAGUGAGGCACGUGUGCCUUUUUGUAUGUACUUUAUGAAUAAGGAUCGGCUAACUCCGUGCCAGCAGCCGCGGUAAUACGGAGGAUCCGAGCGUUAUCCGGAUUUUUUGGGUUUAAAGGGUGCGUAGAUGGGUUGUUAAGGUAGGUGUGAAAGUUUGCGGCUCAACCGUAAAAUUGCCAUUGAUACUGGCAGUCUUGAGGACAGUUGAGGUAUGCGGAAUGCGUGGUGUAGCGGUGAAAUGCAUAGAUAUCACGCAGAACCCCGAUUGCGAAGGCAGCAUACCGGUGCACAACUGACGCUCAGGCACGAAAGCGUGGGUAUCGAACAGGAUUAGAUACCCGUGUAGUC
rnacentral:rRNA from 1 species